GCUAGAGCACUCCUACGGGAGGCAGCAGUGGGGAAUAUUGCUACAAUGGGCGCAAGCCUGAUGCAGCCAUGCCGUGUGUAUGAAGAAGGCCUUCGGGUUGUAAAGUACUUUCAGCAGUGAGGAAGUGGGUAUGUUAAUAGCAUAUUCAUUUGACGUUAGCUGCAGAAGAAGCACCGGCUAACUCCGUGCCAGCAGCCGCGGUAAUACGGAGGGUGCGAGCGUUAAUCGGAAUUACUGGGCGUAAAGCGCAUGCAGGUGGUUUGUUAAGUCAGAUGUGAAAGCCCGGGGCUCAACCUCGGAAUUGCAUUUGAAACUGGCAAACUAGAGUACUGUAGAGGGGGUAGAAUUUCAGGUGUAGCGGUGAAAUGCGUAGAGAUCUGAAGGAAUACCGGUGGCGAAGGCGGCCCCCUGGACAGAUACUGACACUCAGAUGCGAAAGCGUGGGGAGCAAACAGGAUUAGAUACCCUGGUAG
rnacentral:rRNA from 1 species